rnacentral:ncRNA from 1 species
UGUUGUGUGCGCGAAGAGAAAAUGUAAAGUUGCGGGGUCAAAGAAAACACAUGAAUAAGAAAGCUUGUGAGAAUGAUAGAAGGUUAAAGAAGUGUCUUUUUCUUUUUUGAUUUCUCUUAGCCGGUAUUUGAUUGUUUUUCUCCCGUCUCUUUUCUUUUCCUAGUACCGUUCAUCGCGUUAUGGCAUCGCAUGCUUCUUUCGCAGCGCCUUCGAAAAUAUGAAACCAUGUAUCGUAUAACGUGAGACGCCACCCAGGUUAAGGCGAAAGGGAAUCCGGUCCUGAUUCCGGAACCAGGCUGCGGCUACGUCCGCGAUAAAACGACUUUAACCCUCGUAAUGUCACGGUCGCGGUAACGCGACACAAACCGGAGAAGCUGCCGAGAACCCCGGGAAGAGUUUUCUUUUCUGCUUGAGGGACCGAGACCCUGGAAUCCCGUCGCGGGGCGAGAGGGUUAUGGAUUUAGCUGUCAAAGGCUAUCCCGAAGAGCGUCGCGUUUCUGCGACGUCCGUGGUCGUUCUCGGCUGGCCCUUGAAAAUCCGGUGGGAGGGUUACGUUGUUGGACGUUCGCGCCUGCUCGUACCGAUAUCCGCAUCAGGUCUCCAAGGUGAACAGCCUCUAGUCGAUGGAUGAAUGUGGGUAAGGGAAAUCGGCAAAUUGGAUCCGUAACUUCGGGAUAAGGAUUGGCUCUGAGGGUCGAGGCGGUCGGGCUGAGUUUAUCAAGCGAAGCCGUCGGCGGACGUGUCAGGCCUGGGUCGAAGUGCGUUGGUUGUUUCGAGCGUUGGUUUUUCUUUCGGGGAAAGCUCUCGUUUCGGGACUCUUUCGCGCUGAGGCUCGGUCCUCGGNCAGAUCGCUGCCGGUGGAGCGGCUCGGCAUCGUCUCCCGAGUGUUUGGCCCUCAAAAGUCGGGCGCUCGUGGUAGAUCUCGGCCGCCAUCGAACGACCAACUCAGAACUGGCACGAUCCAGGGGAAUCCGACUGUCUAAUUAAAACAAAGCAUUGCG